AGGUAGCCGCACCAAGUCCC
rnacentral:misc_RNA from 1 species